rnacentral:lncRNA from 1 species
UAUGCUUAACAUUGCAAAUUUUUGUGGACUCUUUCUUGUUUUGUACCAUUCAGUUUAUGAGCCUUUCUUUUCCCCCCCUUUUCACUGAGCAAAAUAUAUUAUGUAUAAGAGACCCGGGUCUUCAAUCUCUUGAUCAAUUUCUCAUUUUCGUUCUUUUUUUUUUGUAUUUUUCAUUACCAGUUUCCUGGAUUUGCAAAAGUUUUAUUGGCAAUGGUAUCUGCAGAGGGAAGAAGAAAGAUAAAAAGGAAAUGGAAGGAUCGGUUGCCAAAACAGGGAAAGAAGAAAAGAAGGGCCACACGCUUUGCCUAAUGGAGUUCUAACAUUAGUUUGAGUGGCAAAAGUGCCGUGUCAGUGUUUACAAGAUUCUUCCAAUUGAAAAAGAAAUUGGAUUUAUAUGCACUUUUUUGUUGGUAUAUAUUUCGAUGAAGGCCUGUGAUAUGUCCCAAAUAUCUAGUAUCUUGUAAUUCUACUUAGUCCGGUUCCUCUUUGUGUACAUGAAAUAUUGCUUAGGGAGGCCAUGAUUAUUUCUACAGGGAAAAUAGUGAAUUAAAUAGAAAAAAAGCAAAAUAAUUAGGAUCUUCGUGGG